UACAGAGGGUGCUAGCGUUGUUCGGAAUCAUUGGGCGUAAAGGGCGUGUAGGCGGUUUGUUAAGUCAUGUGUGAAAUCCCUCGGCUCAACCGGGGAACGACGCAUGAAACUGGCAAGCUAGAGUACCAAAGAGGGGGGUGGAAUUCCCGGUGUAGCGGUGAAAUGCGUAGAUAUCUGGAGGAAUACCGGUGGCGAAGGCGGCAUCCUGGACCGGCAUUGACGCUGAGGAGCGAAAGCUAGGGGAGCAAACGGG
rnacentral:rRNA from 1 species